rnacentral:rRNA from 1 species
UACGUAGGGUGCGAGCGUUAAUCGGAAUUACUGGGCGUAAAGCGUGCGUAGGCGGUUCUCCAAGUCCGUUGUGAAAGCCCCGGGCUCAACCUGGGAAUGGCAGUGGAAACUAGGGGACUGGAAUCUGGCAGAGGGGGGUGGAAUGCCGCGUGUAGCAGUGAAAUGCGUAGAGAUGCGUCGGAACACCGAUGGCGAAGGCAGCCCCCUGGGCUGAGAUUGACGCUCAGGCACGAAAGCGUGGGGAGCAAACAGG